CAUGUCGCGGUAGAUUAUUGUACACAAUGGACAUCAUAUAUAAUGAAGUCUCGUUUCACGUCCAUCAGUUUUAUACGGCGUUUAAUAAAUUGGAGCUCUGGCCAUGGGAUGGCACUGUUGCUUCACAGACGUGAAAUCUCGGGGCUCAAAACGAAGUUACCGCGGUGGAUCUUUCUGACGAAUGAGGGUGCUGCACAUCGUCGGAAACGAGCUGGCGGACUCAAAAAGGUCAUGGAAUAUAUAAUUUGCAAUUUUUUAAAAUUAAUAAGGAAUAUUUUUGUUUCUGUUGAUCCCCUUUCCAUUCAAAGUACUUACUCUUAAGUUGCAUGUUAUUUUGAGAGCGCACCUCCAAUGUUCCAACAGAGCAGAGCAAUCAAUAUUUAAUCAAAUUGUGUCUGGGUGUACCUUAUAUUAUUGAAAUGGCACAACAGUAGCAAUAUAUCUUCAUUGAUGUACUCAGACAGCAUGUCUUUUGUCAGAUCAGAGUAACUCGGCAGUCGCAGUCACGCUUCUUUUGUUUGUUCCUCGUGCGUGCGCCCCGGAUUGAUUUCGGUUGUGUUCUCCGCGUCUCCCUCCAUCGAUUAAAUCAUGAAGACUCUUAACUUUGCCGAACGGGACAGCGCAUGAGCGAUGGGAUUUGCUCGUCCAUAUGACGAGGAAGACUUCAGAAGGCCAAUCAUUUCGAGAGAAGGUUGGAUCAAGUGACUUCCAGCUUCGCCUGGUUAAUUUUCAAAAUCUCGACAAAAAUAAAUAAAUAAAAUAAAAGUAAAUAAAUAACGUGCCACUAUCCACCUGCCGUAAAGUGGAUGACGUAGAACGCUCUAUAUGAAAGCCAGUUUUCUCAAUAAAGCAUUUUUUUUUUUGUCGGAAACUGUCAAACAAACUAAACACUACGGAAGUGCAAUUUAAACUACGAUUAAUUGGAAGCCAUUCACAUGUAGCAUGCUUCAAAUGAGUGCUUUUGUUAAAUUGACAAGACAUGGUGAGGAAAAUGUCAAAAACGUCAACUGACCAACCCCAUAAAUCAAUAUGAAAGCAAAGGAAAUUCAGCCUCCUCGACUGAAAAUGCCGGCGUCGUCAACACAGAUGGAAAAACAAGACUGCAGGUCAUUCGCUGACCAGAAGAGGCACUAUUGAAUAAUGAGAUGGGGGAGAAUACCCUGCUGACAAUACUACCCCUGGGAGAUUCUAUUUACAAGAAUGUCCUACUGCUAUUGAUAAGAACUGUUUACUACAUGGCUCCAGACUGUAACCUCUGACCUCUUAAUUGGCAUACGUCUGAUUGGCUGGGAGCACAGUGACUCAUCAGAUUUGGCUGCACUCAGUGGCAUCUGAAUGGAGAGGUCCCUCCCCCAUCUCUUUGCAAAGAAGGGAUCUGCUGCCCUGACCUUCCAUGAACGCAAGCAGGCCAGUGUGUGUGUUUGACAGCCCAGUAACCAGCAGACCAGCAGGCCAGGCUCUGUGCAACAUGAAAGUGGUGUCUGCUCCUACAGUGGGAUAAAAACCUGGGAUAAUGCAGGGCUCGGCAGCUGGCUGGCCAGAGAAUAACAGGCUCACAGGAUUGCCAAAAUAAGGAGGCAAAAUAAGAGUAUACGGCAGUGGAUUCCAUUUCCUCAUUGGGGUAUCUGAGAUGGAGGUGUUGGUACUAAAACUUCAGGAUUGGGUGUCCUCCUGUUAUUAACACCUCAGACAUGGCUGCAGCUGGACUGGGUGUGCCUGGACCCAACAAAUCUCUCGGGGGACGGGAUCCUCGGCUCACAGACAUGGGGACCAAGUGGCCGAUGCACAUGAACAGGGUGAGCGAGGCUCGUCUGUUUUCUCAUCGUGGGAGCUGCCGUGGAAUCAUUGAGCUACAGCUAGAACGGAUGAGCUUUCCAACAACAGAGCAUCUGUCCCUGGAGCUCGCAUAGUGAGUCUGAACUGAGCUGUCCAGUCUGGGACAUGCAGUGAGUGUCGGGAUGUUUUAUGCACAGAUCAACCAUUUUGAAUAGGCAUCGCCUUAUAAGCCCUGCGUUUGCCACUCUCUGUGGACAUUUAGCAUAGCCGUGAGAACUCUCGGGACUGCAGAUCUGUUUGAUUUGAGCCUUUUUCGCCUCUGCAUUUCUGCACUUGUGUUAAUUUUUUGAAAGCCAUGGAAAAAAAAAUACACACAAAUCGCUGCCGAGUUUUUGUCAGUUGUCAGGUGUUAUGGUCGCUUUCUGGACACCUCUGGGACACGAAAAGCCUUAACAGAGGCUUAUAAUGCCAGGUCAGCUCUUGGCUGUCAGUCAGUGGCCGUGGCAGCUGCGUUGCAAAGCACUUCAACGUCGGAGACUUUCUGGCACCACUCAGCCUUUCCUGGGUUUAUGAAGCGGUCUUAAUGGGUUUUCCACAGCACCUGACCCCACCCCACAAUGCAUCUACCCUUCACUACUCCCAGAAGAGGACAUCGUCUGACGUGCGGCUUAUUUUGGAUAGGGGAGAGUAGCGCCAUUAUCAUUUUGAUGAUUGCAGAAUCAUAAUAAAAAAUGGCCAUAACUCUC